CACCUGACACCAAAAACAUGUAUUCUCAGUAGUCUGUGGUGUGGUAAUGACAGGGAGUGAUUGCUGAGCAGACUUUUAAACCAAAAAUGUAGUAAAUCUCUCUCUGUAAAAUCAAGUCUGUAGGCUUAAAACUCAGCACAAGAAGCUGGGAAGAUAAAAAAUGCUUAAAGGAAAAUUUGUCAGUGAAAUGAAUGAUAAUGUGAGGACCAGAUAGGUACAUAAACGAGUGCCAAGAAAGUGUGCAAGCAAGCCAUGGUGAAGUAAUGAGAUUAGGAAUAUUCAAGGUGUGCAAGCAGUUGAGGAAGAGGUGAAAGUUAAAGCAACCAGAAUGCAUGAACAGCUCAUCAGAAUUGAGGUGGUGUAUGGGAGUUAGUUCAUCAGGGAGUCUAAUCCAACAUCAUCUUGCUGAUUACAAGGUAACUUGGCUGACCAAGUGACUCCUCUCAAUUGCCACCUGUAAUCCCACCCCCCCUUGUAAGACUUGUUGGCUGGCUAUGAUGCUGGUGAUGAGCUGCCUUGUGUGCUAAGAGUUCUCAGGAUUCCCUAACUUUGAUUUUUUAUUUUAAUAAAAAAUCAUUGUUGUGAAAAGUAGUUUCUUUUUUUCUCUCCAGAGAGUCUUUGAGGUAAAAUUUAAGAUAAACUUCCUCUCUAACUCGUUAAAAUAAAUAUAUAUAUACACCCCUAUAUAUAAUAAAAUAUACCUCUAUAUAAUAUAAAGUAUAUACCCCUCAAACUUCUCUCUAAUAUAUAUAUACACCCCUCAAACUUAUCUAAUAUAUAAUGCUACUCUUGCAUUUAAAGAUCUCUCCCUAAAUUUACUGCUUGUAUCAGGCAGCUCUAAAGAAAAACUACACCACUGAUGCACACAGUAGCCUUAAAAUUAUUCAUGCAUCUUGAUCAUCAGCAAACAAAUAAAAGCUGAUCCUCCUGAAAUCUUACCAGCUUAUCUUGAGUAGAGUCUUCCACAGUGACAUCAUACACCACCUCAACAAUGGCGGUGAUAGCUGCAGGCCACACCUUCAUGACCGGUGGCCACCCAGAGCCACACAAGUAAGCCAGGCCAAGGGCGCACAGUUUGCGUCGCUCCUCAGAAGACACCAAGGCCAAUUUGUCAGCCCACAUACUAGUGAUGUGUUCCAACAUCUCCUCAGGGGUGGUGUUCUCAUUGGUGGCAGCCUGAGGGCACAUCAUCUCACUGAGAAAUGACCGAUGAGGUUUUGCCUAACAUCACAACUUGCCUGAGGGCACAUCCUCUCACUGAGAAAUGACCGAUGAUUUUGCCUAACAUCACAACUCUAUAGUCAAGGACAAUAAAUACUUCAUCGGUUUAAAAAACUACUAUUCUGGUGCAGUCAGUCUCUUUCCCUCACCUAUAAAAUUGAGAACCAAUAAUGAGGAACACCAAAGCUCAGUGCUGUGAGGUUACCCCAUUUCAUUUGGUGAGUACAAGACAAGCGGCUAAUAUAUGAUGAUUACUCGUUUUUCCCUAUCAAUUCCACCUUACAGUGUGAUCACAUGAAAGUGAAGGCGAGCUGAGGCACCACCACGUCUAGAAGGGCUGCCACUAUUUGCCAGCCUAAUGAGUUGUAGUAAAUACUUGUCUGUAGCUAAGAUACACUUUACUCUUGUUCCAGACACAACUAUGUUUUAAUUGCAAUCCCAAAGUUCCUUCUAUUUAAUACAACUACUUUUCAUCAUCUGUCACACCAAUAACAAAUGCACUAAUGUAUCAUUACUCCCACGGUGUCCACUAAGCCAUCACUUUCUUGUGUAUAAGGAUUAAAGUUUUAAUGCUUGUUUGUUUGUUCUUCACUACAAUAAACCAAUCCUUACAGCAGCAAAAAACAGCAUUCCUCAGUUAUACUAAUACCAGACUUACCUGAUUAACAAUCCAGGUGAAGAUGGGCUCAGCAUACAGCACAAGUCU